CUGAGGACAGAUAGAUGUAAAUGGGAAGGUGAGUGGCAGGAAAAGAUGGGCAAGUACCUGAGUCAGUGGUCACCCCCAAUGUUUUGGAAUUUCUCUCCCGAACAAGUGCAGAGUCCUGAUAAACUGGUGGAAUGCUUAGAAAAGGUGUGUUGCCAAUUUAACAGAUCCCAGGAGACACA